rnacentral:rRNA from 1 species
GAUGGUUCAUUCAAAUUUCUGCCCUAUCAACUUUCGAUGGUAGAGUAGUGGUCUACCAUGGUUUUCAACGGGUAACGGGGAAUUAGGGUUCUAUUCCGGAGAGGGAGCCUGAGAAACGGCUACCACAUCCAAGGAAGGCAGCAGGCGCGCAAAUUACCCAAUCCCGACACGGGGAGGUAGUGACAAUAAAUACUGAUACAGGGCUCUUUUGGGUCUUGUAAUUGGAAUGAGUACAAUUUAAAUCCCUUAACGAGGAACAAUUGGAGGGCAAGUCUGGUGCCAGCAGCCGCGGUAAUUCCAGCUCCAAUAGCGUAUAUUAAAGUUGUUGCAGUUAAAAAGCUCGUAGUUGAACCUUGGGCCUGGUUGGUCGGUCCGCCUCACCGCGUGCACUGAUCCGACCGGGCCUUUCCUUCUGGGGAGCCGCAUGCCCUUCACUGGGUGUGUCGGGGAACCAGGACUUUUACUUUGAAAAAAUUAGAGUGUUCAAAGCAGGCCUAUGCUCGAAUACAUUAGCAUGGAAUAAUAG